rnacentral:rRNA from 1 species
UACGUAGGGGGCAAGCGUUGUCCGGAAUUAUUGGGCGUAAAGCGCGUGUAGGCGGCUCGGUAAGUCUGCUGUGAAAGUCCAGGGCUCAACCCUGGAAUGCCGGUGGAUACUGUCGAGCUCGAGUCCGGAAGAGGCGAGUGGAAUUCCUGGUGUAGCGGUGAGAUGCGCAGAUAUCAGGAGGAACACCAAUGGCGAAGGCAGCUCGCUGGGACGGUACUGACGCUGAGACGCGAAAGCGUGGGGAGCAAACAGG